UACAGAGGGUGCGAGCGUUAAUCGGAAUUACUGGGCGUAAAGCGCGCGUAGGCGGCUUUGCAAGUCGGGUGUGAAAUCCCCAGGCUUAACCUGGGAACUGCAUUCGAGACUGCGUUGCUGGAGUACGGAAGAGGAGGGCGGAAUUCCCGGUGUAGCGGUGAAAUGCGUAGAUAUCAGGAAGAACACCCGUGGCGAAGGCGGCUCUCUGGGACGGUACUGACGCUGAGACGCGAAAGCGUGGGGAGCGAACAGG
rnacentral:rRNA from 1 species